GAAAUGCGAUAAGUAAUGUGAAUUGCAGAAUUCAGUGAAUCAUCGAAUCUUUGAACGCACACUGCGCUCGCCAGUAUUCUGGCGAGCAUGCCUGUUCGAGCGUCAUUUCAACCAUCAAGCUCUGCUUGCGUUGGGGAUCCGCGGCUGCCCGCGGUCCCUCAAAAACAGUGGCGGGCUCGCUAGUCACACCGAGCGUAGUAACUCUACAUCGCUAUGGUCGUGCGGCGGGUUCUUGCCGUAAAACCCCCAAUUUCUAAGGUUGACCUCGGAUCAGGUAGGAAUACCCGCUGAACUUAAGC
rnacentral:misc_RNA from 1 species